AACGCUCUUUCUCUCAUACACUUAGAACGUGCAUUGCGGUAUUCAGGUCGAACUUUAAACACGAGUUUAAACACGAAUAACCAAAUUUAAAGAGGAGAAUAUUUUCGAUGUCUGUACGUAGAUUUUUCGAAAAUAAAUUGCCAUAAAAAAAGUUACAGUCAUUUUAUUGAAAAUAGCUUUAAUUCUUUAAAAUUUCGAUUCUGUGCGUAGUCCAGGG